GCCACCCAGAGUUCAGUCAGCGCCACCUUUAUUUGUCUGCCAGCUGGUCAGUCUCCCACUUCAUGCAUUUUCAUAAAGUCUUGUGCUCGCAAGAGGAUUAACGCUACUGAAUCUAUCCACGAGCAUCUCCAAACAGAAACAGAUGCUCACUUUAGUGAACUACAGCCAUAUUAUUCCUGAUGCCAGAUAAAGGAUAGGUGAGAUAGCAGCAGGACCUGAGAUCAUCCGUCUGACAGCUAAGAGGUGGCUGAAACUCAUUGUCCUG